GACGAACGCUGGCGGCGUGCCUAAUACAUGCAAGUCGAACGCUGAAGGAGGAGCUUGCUUCUCUGGAUGAGUUGCGAACGGGUGAGUAACGCGUAGGUAACCUGCCUGGUAGUGGGGGAUAACUAUUGGAAACGAUAGCUAAUACCGCAUAAUAGCAGUUGUUGCAUGAUAACUGUUUGAAAGGUGCAAUUGCACCGCUACCAGAUGGACCUGCGUUGUAUUAGCUAGUUGGUGGGGUAACGGCUCACCAAGGCGACGAUACAUAGCCGACCUGAGAGGGUGAUCGGCCACACUGGGACUGAGACACGGCCCAGACUCCUACGGGAGGCAGCAGUAGGGAAUCUUCGGCAAUGGACGGAAGUCUGACCGAGCAACGCCGCGUGAGUGAAGAAGGGUUUCGGAUCGUAAAGCUCUGUUGUAAGAGAAGAACGAGUGUGAGAGUGGAAAGUUCACACUGUGACGGUAUCUUACCAGAAAGGGACGGCUAACUACGUG
rnacentral:rRNA from 1 species